rnacentral:misc_RNA from 1 species
UUUUGAAACAGGAUAACCUCUUGAUAUUUAUUUUCUUUUACCAUAAAUAAAUUCAACUCAGGUCCUAUUGGACCUCACAAUACCAAAAAAAUAAAAACAAAACAUAACCAAUCACUGCAUAUCUCCCCCAUGUGUCUACAGAUCAGCAGAUACAGCCUGCUUAUAGGGAAAAACUUUAAGAACACAAGCCACCAUUCACUUCAACAUUACUAUCGGAGAGUAUUUGAAAAAAGUCCCAACACUUUCAAACACUUACAAACUUACUUGUAUGUCUUACAACAGAUUCAGAAAUCAUAGAAAGUUUAGUAUAUCACAAGAAGCAACAUGGCCCUGCUAAUGAGAGCACAUUAGAUUUCAGAGCUGUAGGAUGCCUCACCUGCUGACAGGUUUUCUCUCUGCUGCCGCUUCAGCUCUUCAUACGCCCAUUCCAGACCAGGGCAGUAAUGGAGUGGUGGAUUAAAUCUGAUAUCAUUUAUGUCAUCCGACAAGAACGCCCCAUUCUCAAUAAGGAAUUUGACUGCUUCCUUCUUCCUUUCUUUUGCUGCACUAUGAAGUGGAGUCCAGCCACAAGCACCCCAGGUUCUAGCAUCAAUGUCAGCACCACGCUCAAGCAAUUCAUCCAUAACCUCAAGGUGGCCUCCCUCGGCAGCUAGGUGGAGAGGGGUCACCCCUUUUGAUUUGGGACCCCAUGCAGGCGCAUUAACAUCCAUUCCUUCAUCUAGUAAUCGUUUCACCUAUUACAAAGAAAUUUCAAUGUCCUCGGUAGAAGGUGAAUGAAGAAUGAAUGUUUCUCUUGAUCUAAUACCAGCAUACAUUUUCAGGCUAUAAGAAUAUUGGUAAUUGGUAUACAUGAACCAAGAUAUACGCAAUGAAAAAGGGGGAAGCAGAAAACCUAAGAUACCAUGCACUAUAGCCUACUAAAGAACACAGCAAAUAUACCUUACUCAAUUCAACUAAACCUUAAAAUCCCAAUUUGCUCAGGAUUUUGUUGUAUGAAUCAUUUUACUUCAUUCAACCAAAUUUAGAAUACAGCAUAAAUAACUGCAAGAAUCUUAAAAAAAAAAAUUCCAUCCGCCCUCUUUCAAUUACAUCUAUGAAAAUCUCUUAAAUCACUAAUCUAAGAAAUUUAAGAGUCCUUCCAGCUUAAGUGUAUAUCUAACAUACUGAUUAAUUCUCGAAGACUGGAACAAGUUUUUGCGGUAAAGGCCAAAAUAUCUUUGUGCCAACAAUUAUAGGACAAAUGGCUCACAAAUCAACAAAUCCCUAACACUCCAUGCAGACCCAUUUUUGUUUUAUUCUGGUAAAUCCCUGCCACAGAGAUUGUCUAAACCAAAUUUCUAAAAAUCAAUGCCUUAGAUUGAAUUGGGCCCUCAACUUCCUAUACUUCCAAAUUUUCUUCAUGUAUAUUUGAGCAAACUUGUUUCAUCGUAGUUGAAGUUAUAUCCAACUAUGUUUUGAUACGCAUUCGAGAAUCUAAUCAACACAGAGACACACAUAUAUUCUAAAACACAAUCAGCUAAUUUAAAACAAAAUCACUAACAAAAACAAACGUAAACUAUCAUCAAAUAGAGACGAUAAAGCCUAAGAAAUGGAGCUAACGGAAUAAACGUACCUCUUUGAGAUCACCUUUUCGAGCACCGAUAUGAAGCAAUGUCCAACCGCGAUCAUCCCUAUCAACCCUUGACCUAAAACUCCGUCUUUUAGACAAAUUACGCGGCAACAAAAUUGAAACGGGUUCGAAACGCUCCUGGGGCAUACUUUUUUUUUCUCUUCCUUCCAAUUUAUCAAUCACAGAUCAAAAACAAUCACCAACACGCAAUCUUUGAGGAAAAACUCAACAAUUAAAAACCCUAAAAUUUUGAGAAGGUUUAGAAGGUGACGAUGGAGAAAAAACCAAAAAUUUACAUGUUUUAUUUAUUGAAGAUGCGAAAUUAGCGAGAAGCACAGGAAUGAUUGGCAAUGCAAUAAGGAGCAAAUGGAUUCAAACCGGGUCCAAAAACACGGAGAUUUUGAAAGAUGACGACGGAAACGACAGGGGAGGAUGAAGAGAUUAUGAACAUAAUUUCUUAUUUUUCAAAAAAACAAACCCUAAUUUCGUCGAUGAUUAGAGUAUAUAAGGAACCGAUUACACAAAACUUAAGUGAUUAGAGAAAUCCAGGUCUGAUAUGGAGAGAGUUUGAAGGAAACAUAAAGGACGAUACACCGGAAACCCUAAAAUCAGAGAAAGAGAAGGGUUCUUUUUUCCUGGCGGGUGCGCUGGAAAAUUCCCGAUUCAAG